rnacentral:rRNA from 1 species
AGAAAGGGCUUCGGCCCCGGUACAGUGACCGCACCGGGUGAGUAACACCGUGGGUAAUCUUCCCUCGAGCGGGGGAUAACAUUCCGAAAGGAGUGCUAAUACCCGCAUAAGGACCACCGGCCUCGAAAGAGGCUGCCGGUCAAAGCUGGCCUCUAUACAUAAGCUAGCACUUGAGGAUGAGCCCGCGGCCCAUCAGGUAGUUGGUAGGGUAACCGGCCUACCAAGCCAAAGACGGGUAGCUGGUCUGAGAGGAUGAUCAGCCACACUGGAACUGAGACACGGUCCAGACUUCUACGGAAGGCAGCAGUGGGGAAUCUUGCGCAAUGGGCCGAAAGCCUUGACCGCCAAGCCGACGCCGCGUGAGUGAUGAAGGCCUUCGGGUUGUAAAGCUCUGUGGGGAG